AUUGAACGCUGGCGGCAUGCUUUACACAUGCAAGUCGAACGGUAACAGGCCUUCGGGUGCUGACGCGUGGCGAACGGGCGAGUAAUGCAUCGGAACGUGCCCAGCGGUGGGGGUUAAGGCAGCGAAAGCUGUGCUAAUACCGCAUGUGAUCUGAGGAUGAAAGCGGGGGACCUGGCGGCAAUGUUUGGCCUCGCGCCUUUGGACCGGCCGAUGUCGGAUUAGGUAGUUGGGGGGGUAAAGGCCUACCAAGCCGGCGAUCUGUAGCUGGUCUGAGAGGACGACAGGCCACACUGGAACUGGGACACGGCCCAGACGCCUACGGGAGGCAGCAGUGGGGAAUUUUGGACAAUGGGCGCAAGCCUGAUCCAGCAAUGCCGCGUGCGAUAAGAAGGCCUUCGGGUUGUAAACCGCUUUUGUACGGAACGAAAAGGCUCUGGCUAAUACCUGGGGCUGAUGACGGUACCGUAAGAAUAAGCACCGGCUAACUACGUG
rnacentral:rRNA from 1 species